CCUACGGGUGGCAGCAGUGGGGAAUAUUGCACAAUGGGGGAAACCCUGAUGCAGCAACGCCGCGUGAGUGAAGAAGUAUUUCGGUAUGUAAAGCUCUAUCAGCAGGGAAGAAGAUGACGGUACCUGACCAAGAAGCCCCGGCUAACUACGUGCCAGCAGCCGCGGUAAUACGUAGGGGGCAAGCGUUAUCCGGAUUUACUGGGUGUAAAGGGAGCGCAGACGGCAGUGCAAGUCUGGAGUGAAAGCCGGGGGCCCAACCCCGGAACUGCUCUGGAAACUGUGCGGCUAGAGUACUGGAGGGGCAGGCGGAAUUCCUAGGGUAGCGGUGAAAUGCGUAGAUAUUAGGAGGAACACCAGUGGCGAAGGCGGCCUGCUGGACAGUAACUGACGUUGAGGCUCGAAAGCGUGGGGAGCAAACAGGAUUAGAUACCCUUGUAGUC
rnacentral:rRNA from 1 species